rnacentral:sRNA from 1 species
ACUAAUUAAAACAAUGAGGGGCGGGACCUCCUGCCCUCACGAUUAUCAGGAAGCACGGACAGACUAUACGCAGCGUGGUCGUUCCCCACGCUACGCGAAAAAACAGCCUCCUGAUUAAUCUUCGAGGGUAGCGCUGCUACCCUUUUUUUUUCGGAGUAGA